rnacentral:ncRNA from 1 species
UUUAGUUAGAGUUUGAUCCUAGCUCAGGAUGAACGCUGGCGGCGUGGAUAAGGCAUGCAAGUCGAACGGACUUCAUUUUUCCAGAGAUGCGAUUAUAUCAAGUCAAAGGUCGUUUGAAGUUAGUGGCGAACGAGGUAGUAAUACAUAGGAACUUCCCUCAAAGUCGUGAAUAAUUCGUCGAAAGACGGACUAAUACACGAUAGUCCCUCAGGGGUAAAGUUUUAACGCUUUGAGAAAGGCCUAUGCGAUAUCAGCUAGUUGGUAGUGUAAUGGACUACCAAGGCUAUGACGUCUAGGGGAGGUGAGAGCCUGACCCCCACCGAUGGUACUGAGACACGGACCAUACACCUACGGGUGGCUGCAGUCGAGAAUCUUCCACAAUGG